AAGGAGGCAGGGUCAGCAUCCAGACCGCCCGCUCCCCAUCACCCCCAGGCCAUGGGGCAGCCCCACAUCCAUCACCAGCCCCUGGGCACUGGGAAAUUGUCACCGGCCGGCUUCAAGGACGUGCCCAGGGGUGCCCCAGUGGUGUCCGAGGGCAGACGCCCAAAAACCACACAAUUCCCUGGGUUACAGAUUGUUUUUCCAUGUUUAGGACAGAAAAAGGCAGGCUGAUGCAGAAAACGAAUUAUUUACCGAGAUGAGGGCUGAGGCUGCACCCGCCUGCCCAAAGCAACACCCCCAAAAUCGUCUGGGUUUUUUUGGUGGGUUUUUUUUUUUCCCUUCUUUUUAUCCUUUCCUCCUCAGCUGAACUUGGCCGCCUCAUUAGUUUUCCUUUGAAGGCUGGCUGUGAUCGGGGGGAGGCGGAGAGGAGGGGCAAGGUGCACAUUAAUUACACCACAGCUUUAAUUACCCUUCCUUCAGCACGCGGGGCUGUGCAGGAAGCGGGAUAAUUAUCAACCGAUUCCUCAGUUGCCUUUUUUUAGCUUCUCCCGUAUCCACCCGACGCCUCCAGCCCGGCUUCUCUGGGAUCACAGCCCCACAUCAGCCCCAAAAUCCCCUUUUAUUGCCCAAAUUCGCUCCUCUUUAAGAUGGGAAAAGAAAGCCUGUAUCAGCCAUUGAUUUACCAGGAUAAAUACACGUGUCGCCGAGGAUUAAACGAAUGCAGCUAAAAUGGGACAUGGAGGGUUUUUUUUUGCUCUGCCAACCCCGGCGACCCCCUCGAUCCUCUAAAGCAUCUCUGCAAAGGCAGACUGGGGAUGUUAACCCUAUCGGAAGGGUUUAACAGGUUGGAAUGAAAAGGAAAUAAAACCACUUCUCCUUGGA